rnacentral:misc_RNA from 1 species
UAAAAUAAUGAUGGCAAUCUCAUUGAGCUUGGUUGUUAAAUCGACUGCUCUAAGAGAUAGCCUCCCAUCAACCUCUGUGCACUGUAAUUGUAUCGGGUCUAAGUAAAGCUGUGUAUCUCUUGAGGUCAUAGUGAAGCUUAGGCCCAAAAACGGUUUCGACCGUAUAAACAACUUUUAAUUUUGACUGACUUUUGUUUCUAACGAAUCAAAAA